rnacentral:rRNA from 1 species
AGCAGUAGCCACGGGAAUACGUAGGUGGCAAGCGUUGUCCGGAAUUACUGGGCGUAAAGGGCUCGCAGGCGGUUUCUUAAGUCUGAUGUGAAAGCCCCCGGCUCAACCGGGGAGGGUCAUUGGAAACUGGGAAACUUGAGUGCAGAAGAGGAGAGUGGAAUUCCACGUGUAGCGGUGAAAUGCGUAGAGAUGUGGAGGAACACCAGUGGCGAAGGCGACUCUCUGGUCUGUAACUGGCGCUGAGGAGCGAAAGCGUGGGGAGCGAACAGGAUUAGAUACCCCUGUAGUCCCUGUCUCUUAUAA